GGUUGAUCUGAAAUGAUUAAAGAAGCAUGUCUAUUUAGAUGUGUACCAUAAAUGAAGGGUUUCCAGCACUGCCUACCUGAUCUGGUUUAUAGUUCACAACUGCCCAAUUAUCCUUCUACCAUCUUAGAACUCACAAUCUCAUUUAAAAGCAAAACAAAACAAAAAAAAAACCAGAAACUAAACUUUGUAUUUCUUACCACUAUAUUCAUCCAGCACUGACUUUCCAUUCACAGUGUUGUAACCUAAGACACAGUUUUUCUACUAAGGUCUGUCCAGCAUUUUAUGGAUGCUCCUCUAACAAGCAAUCUCUCUGUCCUCAAAAGAAUUUAUAACAAAAGAAAACUGCUUAGUCUAGUUAAGAGUUUUUUCACACAAAGACAGAUAGACACCCACCAAAGUCUCUUUCUGUUGUCUCCUCUGAAAGCUAUAAUAAUGUCACGUCACUGUGGCUUGUCUCACAGCAGCCGGAAAUAUGCCUGUCACUGAUGCAACUCGAGUCACAGAAUAUUUGUUUUUCCUUCUGCGUCACUUGCACCAGUAAUAAACUAAACUAAUCUACAAUAGACAAGCUCCUGCUUUUUGCUUUUCUCUUUAAAACAUUAGCUCUGAGAAUAUAGACACAUUCCAAAGUGCUUCUUGUAAAGGAGAGGAGUGGGUGGGGAAUAAAAGGAAAUAGCCAACAUUUUAAGUCACAAACUGUUCAGAACCCCUUUUAAAGCAAUUGGAAUGGAACAUUUAGAUUUGAUAUUCUGGCUCUAACCAAUCUCAGAUAGCAUUUCACCUGCCACUGCUUCUCCCUCCAAUGGAAAUCAGUGUUUAGAAUGAAAGCCCUCCCCAGCCAAUCAUGUGCAAGCUCAGGCACUCAGUUAAUGAUGCAGCAGUACAGGGAAGACUAUCACAUGUGAGCUGGAAGGCUGCCAACAUGGAGACACGCAGAGAGAAAGGUAAACAACUUUCCGAGGCCAAAAUGAUGACAUUUAAUUCUUAAAUGCAAUCUUCUUAACUCACCCUCUGUCAGCUGGUCUGGGGCUUCACAAUGUACCUGUCCCCUCUCCCUCCCCAAACCAAUGCUUUCCAAACCUAACAACAUGCCAAGCAAAGAUCCCUGCGUCAUCAUUUGUCCAUUUGCCACUUUCUUAACUCUGCAGAUACAGAUUCUCGCUUUAAAGAUCCAGAGUGUUUUGAUAAACCCCUCUACCAACUUCUUGAUUUAAUAAGGAAACUGGGGAAGGGGGUGUUAGAUGGUACCCUCUGCAAAGCUGCUGUUCUAUUUCCCUUCCUCCUUUCUUGACUCUCCAUUAUAGCUAGCUAUGCACUGACAUUUUACAACUUGUGCCUUCAUUCCAUUGGUCUGAUGCAGGACACAGAAACAACAUUUAGCCAUAGGAAAAUAAUACUGGAUGAAAAGUUUCAGGGAUGGGAGGACAGAAAGAUACCUCUAGCCACAUACAUACAAAGUGAGACACUCAGUUCAAUUCACCCCCCCAACUCCGAUAAAAAAUAAUACGUACGUAUUUAAUAGAGGAACCAUGAGAUCUGUUCAUCUAUACACCUGUGCAGUCCUCAACCCUCUGUUCGCUCUGCCGCAGCACAGAACAUUCCAGAAUUUUCCACCCAUUAACCUUUCCUAUAUCUGCCCCCCCCCCACCUUUGAGGGAUUAUUGCGUCGCAUCUUUCCGGUACCAUCAAUGGACAAAAUCCACUGAUCCUCAACAAGUUCCCAAAUAAUGUUUCUUUAAAGAAAAAAAAACAUGCUGGACUGAAAAGGAACCAUGCUUCCCAAUGUUGUUAUUACUUCUCUUGCAUGAUCUCUCUCUCUGUGUCUCUUGCUGCAGUAGGCUGUUGCUAGUAGACCUAUCGACAGAGCUGGUUCUCACUCUCUCCCUCUGAGCUGUGUGACGCAGCUCAAAAUUCUCCAGGCUGCUCCUUGUGUUUUAACAACAGAACUGCAGCUUUCCCCUGGAGAGCCGAUGCUAGCAGUACCAGGGCCAGACAAACCAAGACAGAAAGUCACUCCCCAGUUAAGCACCCAAGUUAUUUAUAUCUCCCUGUUCUCCCCUCACCUUGGCUUCUCUGCUUCAUUUCCACUCUUCCCUCACGUUUUGCAUCAUCAGCUUCUCGUGGCUCUGCCACAGCUACAUUUGCUCAGUUAACUCUUUUAGGAGUGGCAGUUACAGGUUCCACUCUUGAACAACAGAACUGGAAACAGAGUUGUUUGCUUUUGAGUGGGUGCAGGAGAUCUGACCCAAGCAAAUACAACUGUGCUCAAAACAGAGGACACUUUCCAAGCAGCCAUGCAAUAUCUGAAUUAAUCCCUUUAAAGGACAGAGAACAUCAUCAGUUCCAAGAAAACAGAUGCUUUCCUCCAGGACUGGACACACUCUCCAAAUGGAAGCAAGCACAUGAAAAACAGCAGUAGUCUAUACUGAAAGUGUGAAAGCUGCACCCUUAAAAAUGGAAAAUCCAUCAUCUUCCCCAAUACUUGACAAGCACUGAAGUUAUCGGAGUGUAACUCAUUCAGUCAUAGAAAUCAGAACCUUAAGAAGGAUGGAGAACAAGAAUAAAUGCCACUGAAACUUGAUUCUAUGUAAAGAACAUUACCUGAGGCUUAACUUGAAUGAUAUUUGAUGUAUUGGUCUCCAUUCCAUUGUGUAAGUUGAAUGUAGAGUUCUACAACUGGUGAAUUCUGUUAGGUAAAUUUCAGCUUGUUAUCCUACAACUAAAGUCUGGGGGUGGCGAUGGGACUCAGAUACAGAAGCAAGGACACAUUAGCGGAUGUUGAGACGUGAGGUACUGAGCUUUGUGCAUCCAUGUCCUGAGUUUCCAUAGGUAACCGUAGCAACCUGAAUUCUCAUAGCAAGGGGCCUGUUUAGCUGAUUACCGUAGAAAGGGCCUAAAAUUAUAUCCUUAGUCAUCUUUAGUGUUUCAAACAUGUGUAUGAAUGUCCUCUCCUUGUUUCAUUAAACUGAGUAAUUAAAAUACAAAAUAAAUUGAAAAAGGAUAGGGCAUAAGAUUAACAAUGAAGAUACUAUAAUAAUAUGGAUUCUAAGCAAUGUGACUGGUUACUUGGCAACCAAAAAGAGGUGUAUCAGAAAAAAAUGAAUUACAAUUAUAGAAGUAGUUAUUCUGGCAGCUUUUAGAGAAGGCUUUUGAACAGAGCUUUCUUAGUGCAUCUGAUUUAGGAAAACAAGCAGAAAUUAUGUUUACAAAACAUGCAUUUGCUAUUCCUAGUUAAAUACUUUGAUUUUAUUACCUAUUAACCAGACAGGAAAAGCACAGGGAGAACCUUCCCAUUUGAGGCAUGUUUUAUCCUUUUUGUUUAUUUUUUUCUGUUAAGAACAAGUCCAGAUAUAGUAACAUGGAGGGGACAAAUAAUACUUUUAACUAUUAGAAUAGAUCAGACAAUCCUAUGUUAAUACCUAUUAGUUUUUAAAGAUAGCAAAGGCAUAUAGAGAUGCCUUUACAAUAUCAAUACCCUCCUCUUUAUGAAACAGCAGUAUAUGCACUUGUGCAGACAUGCACAGACAUUUUUAUAUUGCUACAAAACAUUCAACUAUACAAUAUGGCCUUUCUGUUUAAAUGCUGUUUGUAUGUGGUAUUUUUCUACAAACAUUAUCCAACUUUCUUCACUCAACUUCCUUUAUGAAAAAUCCAACCAAGCAAACACUUUGAAACUGCUACAAAUGGCAACUGCACUAGAGGUACUGAAGAGCCCUAUCUAACCCAAAAAGCUUGCUGGUAAAUCUAUGAGGGAGCUAUUGAACUGACAAAUUAGAUCCCUGGUAGAAACUGGCCCAAUGCUGAAGUGUUACCUCCUUCCUACAGAUAAAAAUACUUCAGCUCUUCCAUAGUGUAUUUGCCAGCAACUCUAUCUUGUUCACUAACGGAUCCAAAACAAUCAAAUCUCCAAUGCUGUAACUUAUUCCAAAUUCUAUUGGUCUGGUUAUUGUACUUCUCUUGGGUCUACCAAAGAAGCACUCAACUCUUUAUAUUCUUUGGUCAAAACAUUGUAAUUGCUUGUCCUUUCUUCUCUCAUUUUCACUGUCAAACUUGUAAUUUGGCACAGGUUUGACUGGGGUUCACUUAACACCCAAUUACUUUCUCUGUGAUUCUUAGUAUUCUAUUUGGGGGGCCUAAUCCCCUUUGCAUGGCAUAAUUUUUCAUUUCUUUUCAUGACUCAUUUCAAUGCUUUAUUUGCUUAUUACCCAAAGCACCUAGUGCAAAUGAAGGCCCAUGCAUACAUUAGUGAGAACUGUCACUGAUAAUUCCAUUAAUAUCUUUUCUGGUGGCAUGAUAUCCUAUAGUAAGUAACUAUGUGGUGGUUAGGCAAAAAAAAAA